UGAGGGGUGUUAACAUGUCUAAUCAUUGAUACCUUUCGCCAGUAUGGCAUGUUCAAUGAUAAGUAAUGAUUACAGGUUUUUGUUCUAAUAUAUGUCUCUGUUCUGCAGCUGAAGAGGAGGAUUUUCACGAUUACUAUACGUCACUCUUUGCUGUCUCUGCGAGCAGGGACAGGGUUGACCCUCAGAGCACUACACCUCAGUCCUGCCUUGUCAUAGAGGUCCUGGAUGAAACAGACAAUGAUAUAAAUGGAAGCCUUGCUGAAGACAACAAAGUGGUUCCAUCUGUUCAGUGGAGCUCCAGCAGUGGGAGAACAGCUUCUCAAACAACCUUAACCAGUGUAAUGUCCUAUAAAAGUGAGCCACCAGCCUGCCCCACUGCUGAGACUCCAAGGUCUUCAAAGUCAUCUAGCAAGACUCCAAGCUCAAAGGCACAAACGACCAGUUUGUCUGCCACUGCUCCCAAAUCAGAGCUGACCAAAGAUCUCCACACCCAUUGUCCUCCCGCUCAUUACCACAAUUCCACUCUGAAAUCCGAAAGUUCUCACCCUCAUGUUCACCUUCUCAUAAAGGCUCAGACUCAUACCUGUUACCAAAAACCAACCAGUCUUCCCCAGUUUCUUCUAGAACCAGUCUCAUGCACAAGGCCUUCUCAGUCACCACCAGCCACUCUGGAGUCCCCACAAACAUUCCUCGUGUGUCCCAGAAUAUCUUCUAUCAGCUGA
rnacentral:lncRNA from 1 species